rnacentral:sRNA from 1 species
UUGUUGAUUCUGAAAAUCACACAAUAAAUUUGUUUAAAGGGGGUAAACAAAUUUACUUAACUCUCUCUCGCUAUUUAGUGACCAAAGAUUCAAUGAAAAGAAGAACAACGUUGCUUAGAGACAAAGUUAGGGUUUUGCCCAAAAACAAUGAAGAGGGUUUUUAGUAUUAAAUUUCGGAUCCCCCGAAUAGAGGACAAACCCCUCUAUUUAUACACUAUUAAGACGGUUAAAAGAUUUGUUAAACUUCUAUUUCUUCGAGGAUUGAAUCUUCUAAUUUCCUUUAUCUCCAAAGACUUCCUAUUUUCAAAGGAGAAAACUUCUUUUUCUUCGAAUUAGGAAGUCGGCUAGACGGUCUCCCUACUUCGGGCUAAAGUCGGCAAAUGACCUCCUUAUUUUGGCCCAUUAACAAGCUAAACCGGGAUAUCCCGGUUUGAUUGAAAUCUCAGUCUAAUUCGUAGUUCUUCUGGUUUAAGCCGGUAUUGUCGGAGGUGCUAAUUCCGGCACCAACAAUGUUUUAACGUGGCAGGACAGAUAUAUAAGUUA